rnacentral:rRNA from 1 species
AUUGAACGCUGGCGGCAUGCUUUACACAUGCAAGUCGAACGGCAGCGCGGGCUUCGGCCUGGCGGCGAGUGGCGAACGGGUGAGUAAUGCAUCGGAACGUGCCCAGUAGUGGGGGAUAGCCCGGCGAAAGCCGGAUUAAUACCGCAUACGACCUGAGGGUGAAAGCGGGGGACCGAAAGGCCUCGCGCUAUUGGAGCGGCCGAUGUCGGAUUAGCUAGCUGGUGGGGUAAAGGCUUACCAAGGCGACGAACCGUAGCUGGUCUGAGAGGACGACCAGCCACACUGGGACUGAGACACGGCCCAGACUCCUACGGGAGGCAGCAGUGGGGAAUUUUGGACAAUGGGGGCAACCCUGAUCCAGCCAUGCCGCGUGCGAGAAGAAGGCCUUCGGGUUGUAAACCGCUUUUGUUCGGGAAGAAAUCCUCUGGGCUAAUACCCCGGGGGGAUGACGGUACCGGAAGAAUAAGCACCGGCUAACUACGUG